rnacentral:tRNA from 1 species
GUUUCCAUAGUGUUGUGGUUAUCAUGUUCGCCUCACACCCGAAAGCUGCUCAGUUCGAAACUGGGUGGAAAAA